CCGAUGACUGGGGUGAAGUCGUAACAAGGUAGCCGUAUCGGAAGGUGCGGCUGGAUCACCUCCUUU
rnacentral:rRNA from 2 species